rnacentral:rRNA from 1 species
AUACGGAGGAUCCGGGCGUUAUCCGGAUUUAUUGGGUUUAAAGGGUGCGCAGGCGGGAGAUUAAGUCGGCGGUGAAAUUUUGCAGCUCAACUGUAAAAGUGCCUUCGAAACUGGUUUCCUUGAGUGUAGAUGAAGUAGGCGGAAUUUGUGGUGUAGCGGUGAAAUGCAUAGAUAUCACGAGGAACUCCGAUUGCGCAGGCAGCUUACUAAACUACUACUGACGCUCAGGCACGAAGGCGUGGGGAUCAAACAGGAUUAGAUACCCUGGUAGUCCACGCAGUAAACGAUGAUUACUAGCUGUUUGCGAUACAAUGUAAGCGGCUGAGCGAAAGCGUUAAGUAAUCCACCUGGGGAGCACGUUCGCAAGAAUGAAACUCAAAGGAAUUGACGGGG